UUUCCGUAGGUGAACCUGCGGAAGGAUCAUUACCGAGUGAGGGCCCUCUGGGUCCAACCUCCCACCCGUGUUUAUUUACCUUGUUGCUUCGGCGAGCCUGCCUUUUGGCUGCCGGGGGACGUCAGUCCCCGGGUCCGUGCUCGCCGGAGACACCUUAGAACUCUGUCUGAAGAUUGUAGUCUGAGAUUAAAUAUAAAUUAUUUAAAACUUUCAACAACGGAUCUCUUGGUUCCGGCAUCGAUGAAGAACGAGC
rnacentral:misc_RNA from 1 species